AUUGAACGCUGGCGGCAGGCCUAACACAUGCAAGUCGAGCGGAUGAAGGGAGCUUGCUCCUGGAUUCAGCGGCGGACGGGUGAGUAAUGCCUAGGAAUCUGCCUGGUAGUGGGGGAUAACGUCCGGAAACGGGCGCUAAUACCGCAUACGUCCUGAGGGAGAAAGUGGGGGAUCUUCGGACCUCACGCUAUCAGAUGAGCCUAGGUCGGAUUAGCUAGUUGGUGGGGUAAAGGCCUACCAAGGCGACGAUCCGUAACUGGUCUGAGAGGAUGAUCAGUCACACUGGAACUGAGACACUGUCCAGACUCCUACGGGAGGCAGCAGUGGGGAAUAUUGGACAAUGGGCGAAAGCCUGAUCCAGCCAUGCCGCGUGUGUGAAGAAGGUCUUCGGAUUGUAAAGCACUUUAAGUUGGGAGGAAGGGCAGUAAGUUAAUACCUUGCUGUUUUGACGUUACCAACAGAAUAAGCACCGGCUAACUUCGUG
rnacentral:rRNA from 1 species